rnacentral:rRNA from 1 species
UACGGAGGGGGCUAGCGUUGUUCGGAAUUACUGGGCGUAAAGCGCGCGUAGGCGGCUUUGUAAGUUAGAGGUGAAAGCCCGGAGCUCAACUCCGGAACUGCCUUUAAGACUGCAUCGCUAGAAUUGUGGAGAGGUGAGUGGAAUUCCGAGUGUAGAGGUGAAAUUCGUAGAUAUUCGGAAGAACACCAGUGGCGAAGGCGACUCACUGGACAUGUAUUGACGCUGAGGUGCGAAAGCGUGGGGAGCAAACAGG